UGCUUUGUGUUUUUGAACAGAUUGCUAAUUGUAUUCCAAACCUGAACCACCUACUGAAGACCUGCAGAAAAAGAAGUGGAAGAAUUCUGAGUGUCCUAAUUUGAGAGGAGGUUAUAGCACAAUAUUAUUAAGAUCAAACUGCCUCUCACCUCAAAUCAAGAAGAAAACCACUCUGCUUUGACUAAAGCCAGCACUGAAAAUUGCUCUGCCAAGAAUGCAGACCAUGGCAGGUUUCACGUGACAUUCAACCCACAGAGAAAGACAAAACAAAGAGCUUCUUGACUUAUUGGUGCUAUCACCUCUUAUGAAGCAGUAAAUUGCUGCAUAGACCAGAUGAUAAGGAAGUGCAUCUAAGACAUAGGAACCAGCCAAGUAUAAAGGUCUCCUUUCUUGUCAAAGAUCCAAGAAGGCCUGGCAUCUGCUUCAAUAUCCAAAGCAAAGGACUUCCUAUGGACACAGAUGUCAAGCAGUAGAUCUUCAAUGGUAUCUUAGUAGCUAGAG
rnacentral:lncRNA from 1 species